rnacentral:tRNA from 1 species
AGGUAAGAUAGCCUAGGGAUAGGCGGUGGUUUGUAGCCCCAAAGACAGAGGUUUAAGUCCUCUUCUUACCA